AACAAAUGGCUCUUAGUUUAUCGUUGACCGCUGCUAGUGAUUGGGAGACCUAGUUAUUUGCUCACUUUACAUUUGAAAAUGGGUGGCUGCUGUAGUACACGAAAAUCCGUCGAUCUACCGCCUGUGCCAGCACCAACUGGUAAUCCCUACCUUCAAGACUACCCUAAUGCUGGUAAAAGUGUUACUGAGAACACGGGGCAAAAUGUUGGCAAAACAAACAUGGCAUUGGAAACGGAUUAAUAAUAGCAAAAAUACUUUCUAGAUGUUAAGCUUAAGAUUUAAAUAUAGAUCUUACACCUAGGUAGUACAUGCAGACAUACAUAUGCAUGUAAUUGUAAAAUUUUUUUGUUAAGCAUUUCAAAUGCAGUUCAACUCUGUUAAACAACGCCACAGACCAAAAUUUGCUUGGCAUAUAUUUUUUAUCAAGAAAUACCUACACUCUUAUCAAAAUUUAUUUAUGAGUACUACGUAUGUAUGUAUGCAUGUCUAAACCUUUAUGUGUUUGAACAUUUUUAUAUGCGUGAGUAAUAUAUAUUGUUAAACUGGUUAACCUUUUGUUGCAAUGGCGAUAUUUCCAAAUACAUAUAUGUAAGUAUGUAUGAAA